rnacentral:rRNA from 1 species
UGAGGGUGCAAGCGUUAAUCGGAAUUACUGGGCGUAAAGCGAGUGUAGGCGGCUUCGUAAGUCGGAUGUGAAAGCCCCGGGCUCAACCUGGGAAUUGCAUUCGAUACUGCGCGGCUAGAGUCUGAUAGAGGGAAGUGGAAUUCCAGGUGUAGCGGUGAAAUGCGUAGAUAUCUGGAGGAACAUCAGUGGCGAAGGUGGCUUCCUGGAUCAAGACUGACGCUGAGGCUCGAAAGCGUGGGGAGCAAACAGGAUUAGAUACCCUGGUAGUCCCACGCCCUAAACGAUGUCAACUAGACGUUGGGCUCAUUAAGGAGCUUAGUGUCGAAGCUAACGCGUUAAGUUGACCGCCUGGGGAGUACGGCCGCAAGGUUG